AAAAAAUCAAAUCAAAAUAACGCCCCCCCCCCACCCCCCCGGUUGCCUUUUUUGUGCAGUUUCAGCAAAGCUGCGAGGAAGUUGCUCCUUUUGUUCCACUAUUUAUAGAUUGCGUCAACAUUGCGAAAAGGAGAAGGCGGAGCGGCGCGGCACUCGCUCCUCGCCGGGGGACGGGCCGCGGGGACGGGGACGGGGCGGGGGGGACGGGGUGGGAGGACGGCGAAGGGCCCGGCGCACACGCGCGACCUCGGGCACCCGCCGGCCCCCCCGGGCCGCGCCCCGCCGCCGCUCCGUGUGCCGGGGCGGGCGGGCGGCACAGCGCGGCUCUUCUCGGUGCGGCGCGGCGCGGCUCGGCGCCGCCCCGCAGUCUGCAGCGGGAGGCGGUGCGCGGAGAGAAACCUGUUGCGGCCUCGGGGAGGCCGGAGCCGGGGAGGCCGAGCGGCUGGGAGCGGCCCGUGCCCCUUCGCAGGUGCAGCCGGCCGGCAGCGCGCUGCUCUCCGGUCCCGGAGGGCGGGGAGAGGACGGGAGAACGGAGGGGAGCGCGGAGCCGCCCGGGCCGGUUCGCUCUAAGCCUUCCACCGAGAAACGCGAGUGCGCUUUGCUGGCCGCGGGCCAAUGUUUCUAAAGUGAAUGUAAACAAAGAAAACUGCAAACACGAGAGGAGGGCCUUCCACCGCGGCCGGGGAGAGGGAACGCUCUCCCGAGCGGUGCCGGCCUCCGUUCCUCGCCUCUCACCGGCCCGACCCGGCCCGGCCCCGCGGGACCCGGCGCUCCACGGGCGCGGGGCCGCAGGCCGACGUGCCCCGGGCGGGCGGAGGCUUCGGUCCGCUCCCGACCUCGGGGCGCUGCCCUCCCCGCCGACAGCGGGGCGAGGCCGAGCGGGCUCGGGGCCGGGCGGCGCGGGAGCUGGGAUUCCCCCCGGAGCCGCCCGCGUGAGACGUGCGGAUUUCAUCGCGCUUCGGGGUUUUCGGGCGAAGGGACCCCGCGGAACGCGCUCGGCCCGCGGCGAUGGGGCAGCGGGGCGCGGUACCGCUCCCGGACGGCUCCGGAGGAAUGAAAUGAAAGCGGCUUUCCGUGGCUCCUGGCUCGGGCUGCGCCCUCCGGAUCCCUGUCUCUCCUCGUCCUUACGGCGAGAAAUAAAACGAACGAACGUCUCCCCGUUCGAAGGCGGACAGCGCGCGGUGUCACCGAAAAGACGGAGCGUUUUUUUGUGUGCGGGAAGUCAAAACCGCCGCCCGAAAUGGGUUCCUCGAGCUGCCCCGGGGCCGGACGCGGCCGAUGGGAGAGGCCAGGACCGGAGAUCCUGCGGGGAGAGCUCGGGGCCGGGCGGAGGGCGGGCGGGCAGCGCGCAGUCCUCCAAGUGCUGGGGGAAAGGGAGCGGGAGGCACCGGGAACGCGUUCAGUGGGGUCGGUUUUAGUGAGAAGAAGGGUGCUGCAGCGAGCGGGGGGCGAGCCGUGAGGGGAAGGGCUCAGCGAGGUGUAGGGUGCCUUUUUUUCUCUCUCUUUUUUUUUUCCUUUCCUUCUUUUCCUUCUUUUCCUUCUUUAUUUCCUUUUCUUUCUUUCUUUCUUUCUUUCUUUCUUUCUUUCUUUCUUUCUUUCUUUCUUUCUUUCUUUCUUUCUUUCUUUUCUUUUCUUUUCUUUUCUUUUCUUUCCUUCCCUCCUUCCCUCCUUCCCUCCUCCUUUCUUUCCUUCUUCUUUCUUCUUUUCUUUUCUCUCUCUCUCUCCCCCCCUUUCUCUUUCUUUCUAUCUUCUUUCUUUUUUCUUUUUCUUCCCUCUUUCUUUCUCUCUACCCUCCUCCCUCCCCCGCCCCCCUCUCCCCCCUCCGACGUUUUCAGAGCCGCACGCCUCUUCCCGAAGGCGCACCGACCGCUCCCUACCCACUGGAUGCCUCAAAGGCAAAAGUCACCACGGGCCGCGGGCUGCUUUCCUCUGGGACAGAUCAAGGAGCUGAUCGCCGCCCCCCCCCCCCCCUUCCCCGACCUCACUGUUCCGCCCGCUACGUGACACAGAAGCGGCAGCGGUCGCACAGCGGGGCUGCCCCCCUCGGGCCUCACGGUCGGCCCCGGCGUGGUACAGCGGGCGCAGGGCUGGGCACCUCGGGGCAGCUCCCGGCCGCUGAGCUUUCCUUUACAUCCACGCUGACGAAAAGGCUGAAAUGACCUCAAGGACUCCGCCUUUUAGGAAGAAGCCUUCAGCCUCCGUCGCUCCUCUGCCUCCCGCUCGCUCCCCGUGCCCAUGGGAUGGGGGGGGUGGGGUGGGGGUGGGGAGCUUUCACUUCUCGUCCUCUCUAUGCAAACUUUUCGGACGGCGUCGGGACGCGCCGGUGGGGAUGGAGAGAUCGAAUCCCAUUUCGUUCCCCCUUUUUAUAAAACAAAACCUUUCCCAGCCCUCUCUCUGAUGCUGGGCACCAACAGCUUCCCUCAGCCGGGACUUCCCAGCUCCUCCUGAAGCGGAGGGGGCUCUGGGGGCGAGGAACCGCCGGCGGUGGUUGUGAGCAUUUGGGACUGAUGCUCCGCGGUCCCUCCGCGGUCCCAACGCCGUUUUCCAGGAGCGCACUUGGCGGCUGAGCUCGGGGACCGCGAAACGGAGAGGAGCGUCAACGCCUGGACGGUUUUCAAAGCGCUUUAAAAAUCAUAUAUUAAAUAAAUAAAUAAAUAAAUAAAUAAAAAUCUCCCUUUGAUGUGAUGGAAAAAAUCGCGGUGUAAC
rnacentral:lncRNA from 1 species